AUGGGAGACUUCAAUUAUAUCCUUGGUGCUCAUGAGCACAAUGGCACUAGACCUCCUGCUAGAGCUCUUAUCGAUGAUUUCAAUAAUUGGACAGACCAGAAUUUACUAGUGCAUCUUCCUACUGCUGGUGCCUUUUUCACAUGGAAGAACGGUAGGCAAGGUACUUAUCAUAUUGAAAGGAGAUUAGAUAGAACAAUAUGCAAUUACAAAUGGUUGAAUUUUUGGACAAACACAUCCUGCAGAACCUUAAUUAGGAACAAGUCUGAUCACUUUCCGCUCUUACUUGAGUUCCUCAACUGUUAA